rnacentral:lncRNA from 1 species
UUUUUUCCUUUUUGUGGAGAACAGGGUCUCGCUAUAUUGCCCAGGCAGGUCUGGAACUCCUGGGCUCAAGCUAUCCUCCCACCUGUUGCCUCCCUGAGAGCUGGGAUUACAGGCGUGAGCCACCGCGCCCGGUAUUUUUAAAUUUUCUUUAUUUUUUUUAAGAUGGAAUUUCACUCUUGUCACCCAGGCUGGAGUGCAAUGGCGCAAUCUCAUCUCACUGCCACCUCUGCCUCCCAGGUUCAAGCGAUUCUCCUGCCUUAGCCUCCCAAGUAGCUGGGAUUACAGGCACGNNNNNNNNNNUCCCAGCUACUUGGGAGGCUGAGGCAAGAGAAUCGCUUGAACCCGGGAGGCAGAGGUGGCAGUGACCCGAGAUCGCACCAUUGUACUCCAGCCUGGGCAACAGUGAGACUCCGUCUCAAACAAAACAAAACAAAAGAAACAAACAAACCCUGGAUUUGAUCUACCUCUCAUUAUCUCUUUACUCAUUUGCUCACAUAGCAAAUGUUUGCUGAAUGCUAACUCUAUUGCCACUCACAACUGCAAGGAGUAAAAAAAUCAGGAAUGCAAAAAGUAUGUGCUUCAUAAUUACAGACUGUUACACUCACAUAAGGCAUCAAAGGAAGAGGAAUGGAUAAGAGAAUGUUUGAGAGAAUAAAAGAAAAAAAAAGAACAAAGGAAGAGGGGUCCUGUUUGAAAGUCAGUUGCAAGUUUGGACAACUCUGGUCUUCGGGUAGCAGGGGAUAUAGAAUGUCCAAUACCAGAGCCCUUACACAGUGGAAAGCACUGACUCAGGCACAAGCCAGGCCACUGGCAAUCAAGGUGACACACCUUCUUGCCACCAUCGCCCUCCCAGCAGGGUCCCUUCAACGGUGUCUCAGAGCCAACCAUCAUAUCCUCUUAUCAACCACCUUUACAAUCUCCGGAGCUAUUUAUGAGCUGACGCCCUCAACAAGUCAGCUUUCAGUACAAACUCCUAGAAAGGCAGGUCAAAGGUCUGACUCCAGAGAAAAAGGCAACGCUCCCUCUCACAGCUGAGUUAAGUGAAGCUGGAACUCAAAGGCAUAUUGUUGAGAACAAGCACCUCCCACCUCAGCCUCCCAAAGUGCUGGGAUUACAGGCAUGAGCCACCGACUGGGAUUACAGGCAUGAGCCACCGAGUCCAGCCUAAACUUCAUUUCUAAUCAAGACAUUUAGAGAAAAGGAAAAAAAAGAGAAUACUUAUUAUAUGCUAAUAAAUACCAAUUAAGACCACCACCACAACUAGUAUUUGCGUUGCACCCGUGGAGAGAUGAAAGGGAAUGGUAGGUUCUCAGGUCCACCUCCACCCAGGGUAAGAAAGUUCUAACGUUCUGUCAGCUAACUUGCUAGACACUGUGCUCCGAACUACUUCAGCAGGGGAUCCACAUUGCACAGCUGAGCCAUUAGAAGUCUUCAGGUGAUUCGCUGAAAAUCUAUCUCCUUGGACCUUCACCGCACAGAGACCUAGUGCAUCACAGAAAUUCAAUGACUGGCGACGUGCAGUGGCUCACGCCUGUAACCCCAGCACUUUAGGAGGCUGAAGUGGGAGGAACUGCAGCUUCCGCCUCCCGGGUUCAAGCAAUUCAUUCCUAUCUCAGACAUGCAAGCACGAGACCUUCUCCUUGGUGUUCUCAUGGCUCCAAUUUGUUUGGACCUGACAAUGUGAUUUUGUCCUGGUAUCUGCAACUUUCACAAGAUGGAGCAACUCAACACCAGAUUCCACCCCUAAUUAUUCCUUCAUUCACUCAAAAAGUAUCUAGGCACCAAUGUGUCAGGCACCGUGUUGGUCACAGGGGAUACCAUGAUGAACAAGAGAAGGAACCACAGGCUUUUGAAUGGGAGACUAAAGCAUGUGAAAAACACACGGAGAGCUGGGUGCGGUGGCUCAUGCCUGUAAUCCCAGUGCUUUGGGAGGCUGAGGAUGGAGGAUCGCUUCUGCCCGGGAGUUGGAGACCAGCCUGGACAACCUAGUGAGACCCCCGUCUCUAUCAAAAUAAAAACAAAUAAUAAAAUUAGCUGGGUGGGGUGGGGUGCGCCUGUAGUCCCAGCUACUCGGGAGGCUGAACU